AUCAAAUUGGGAUUGCAGUCUGCUGAUCAAAACUCUGGAAUCAUCUCACAGUGGAGAGAAAUUAUACACAAGGAUUGACCCUGAAAAUAUUGCAUGGAAAAACUAUGAAACUGAUGACGCUACAUCUACAGUUCUUGUUGAUGCAAGUCCAUGGCAGCCCAGCAUCAAAAUCUUUGGAGGUGACAGAACGGGUGACGCAGUCACUGUGACAUGUUCAACUUUUCACACAUGUCCCUUUAACAAACCAAAAAUCACUCUGAACGGUAUAGAAGGACCUGAUGAAAUAAAGGAUGAGUCUGUUAAAGACGGCUUGUGGAAAAGCACUCUGAUACGCACAGGUGUCGUAAAGACAGAAAGCUCAACUAUUAAGUGUUUAGUAACACAUCAUGGCAACAUUCCAGCGACAGCUACAGAGAUCAAAAAUUCUAAAUGUGUUCAUUAUAACAUAUCGAUUGAGCCUGA